UAUACAAAAGUGUAUAGGGCAUAAGAAGUUUUGAUCUUUUAGGGAUUGGUGUAAUUCCAAUGUGUAUAU
rnacentral:tRNA from 1 species